ensembl:snRNA
AUCAUCCUUUUUCUGGGGUUGCGCUACUGUCCAAUGAGUGCAUAGUGAGGGCAGUACUGCUAACACCUACACAACACACUCGCAUCAAGUAGAGCUUUGCUUUAUCUUGGUGUAAUUUUUGGAAAA